CACGAAAAAGACGCGCGGAUCCGGGCGCGGCGGAUCUGCCGGCCGGUGCGGCGGCUUGCUCCGGUGGCGGCGGCGAUGUCUUGCUCAUCCAGUUAAAGAGAGAGACAGGGUGUGAGGGGGAGAGGAAAGAGAGGAAGGCAUAGAAGGAGAAGUGUCGCAAGAUGAGGGAGGGAUCUCGCGGCUGGUGCGGGGGCUUGCUCGCAGCGGCGUCCGUCUUGUCCAGAGAAAGAGAGAGACAGGGCAUGAGGGAGAGAGGAAAGAGAGGAAGAAAGGAGAAGGAGAAUGGGCGCAAGGUGACGGAGACGGUCGCUGGCGGUGGCGCCUCCGGUGACCGGCCGGCGGCAGGGCGACCUGCACUUGGAGGAGGAGAACUGCGCAAGAUGGAUUCCAGCACCCUCCUACUCAUAUAAUGUACAGGAGCUUCAAGACAAAGGGCAUCAGGCUUCACGGCAACACAUUUAUCUAUAACUUUCUCCCCAAAUCUGAAAGUAUUUGGCCCCUAAAUUCUAAUUCUCAUUAGAAAGUCAGAGUAUUUGUGGAAUAUGGUCUAUGAAUAUUGACAAAUUUGAUUGCAGCAGGGGCGACAAAGUUAGUGCAGUCCUCACCGUGCACAUAUAUUUCAGGGUAAAAUCAAACUUCAGUUAGAAGGACAUGAUCAGGCAGGAGAUUCAUGCAGCAUUGGAUGUGAGAGGCCCUAAAUGCAUUUAGCAUGUGAAAAGAUGUGUUUAGUAUUGUUCCAAGUUGUUACCUUUCGAAAAGAGAACGCAACAGGGAUAAUUUUUUCUUCGAAGCACGAGUUAACCACAAGGAAUCUCCAUGCUUUUGCACCGGACAGACCUCAAGGAACCUCUGCCGAAGAUUUACGUGGUGAAGGACUCGAACUGUAUCUCACGUCCACUCGGCCACACCUGGGUUGGCUGCCAACAGCCCUCUGAUUGAACAACUGCUCCGUCUAUCCGAGUCUCUGUCGGUCGGCUGUUCUUCUCGGACAUCACCAUACAGCUCCUCAGCAGCAAACUCAUGUGCUUCUCCACCAGAAUCAAUUCCCGAGCUGUUGAUAUCCCCUAUUCCUCUAAGGAUAUGCCCAUGGUAAUUUUUUCCACAAGACGAGUGUUGCAGUAUUUGUAUGAACUGGAGUACUGUACUGUUGCAGUAGUGUACAACUGUACAUACAUGGUUUGAAAAUCCUUUCUUUUUCAGUUAUAUAUUAGAAUGGAAUUUGUACGGCUUGGACUGCAUUUUCACAAUCAAUAUGGUGUGUUCAAGUAGUGUAAAUUGUUUAACUUGCUUUUUGGCCAGUAUCCCGAUAUAUGUGGAUGUAUCGUUGCUUUUUACAAUCAAUUUGUAAUGUUGCUUAAUGUACCGUUUGGUCUGCUUUUUUGGUCUGUAUCCCUGAA